rnacentral:rRNA from 1 species
GGGUAGAGCACUGUUUCGGCAAGGGGGUCAUCCCGACUUACCAACCCGAUGCAAACUGCGAAUACCGGAGAAUGUUAUCACGGGAGACACACGGCGGGUGCUAACGUCCGUCGUGAAGAGGGAAACAACCCAGACCGCCAGCUAAGGUCCCAAAGUCAUGGUUAAGUGGGAAACGAUGUGGGAAGGCCCAGACAGCCAGGAUGUUGGCUUAGAAGCAGCCAUCAUUUAAAGAAAGCGUAAUAGCUCACUGGUCGAGUCGGCCUGCGCGGAAGAUGUAACGGGGCUAAACCAUGCACCGAAGCUGCGGCAGCGACGCUUAUGCGUUGUUGGGUAGGGGAGCGUUCUGUAAGCCUGUGAAGGUGUACUGUGAGGUAUGCUGGAGGUAUCAGAAGUGCGAAUGCUGACAUAAGUAACGAUAAAGCGGGUGAAAAGCCCGCUCGCCGGAAGACCAAGGGUUCCUGUCCAACGUUAAUCGGGGCAGGGUGAGUCGACCCCUAAGGCGAGGCCGAAAGGCGUAGUCGAUGGGAAACAGGUUAAUAUUCCUGUACUUGGUGUUACUGCGAAGGGGGGACGGAGAAGGCUAUGUUGGCCGGGCGACGGUUGUCCCGGUUUAAGCGUGUAGGCUGGUUUUCCAGGCAAAUCCGGAAAAUCAAGGCUGAGGCGUGAUGACGAGGCACUACGGUGCUGAAGCAACAAAUGCCCUGCUUCCAGGAAAAGCCUCUAAGCAUCAGGUAACAUCAAAUCGUACCCCAAACCGACACAGGUGGUCAGGUAGAGAAUACCAAGGCGCUUGAGAGAACUCGGGUGAAGGAACUAGGCAAAAUGGUGCCGUAACUUCGGGAGAAGG